GUGGUUCCCUGAUGGUUAGUGUUCA
rnacentral:piRNA from 1 species